rnacentral:rRNA from 1 species
UGAGUGGCGAACGGGUGAGUAAUACGUGAGUAACAGCCCUUGACUCUGGGAUAAGCCUGGGAAACUGGGUCUAAUACUGGAUACUACGUGCCCUCGCAUGGGGGUGUGUGGAAAGGGUUUUACUGGUUUUGGAUGGGCUCACGGCCUAUCAGCUUGUUGGUGGGGUAAUGGCCUACCAAGGCGACGACGGGUAGCCGGCCUGAGAGGGUGACCGGCCACACUGGGACUGAGACACGGCCCAGACUCCUACGGGAGGCAGCAGUGGGGAAUAUUGCACAAUGGGCGAAAGCCUGAUGCAGCGACGCCGCGUGAGGGAUGACGGCCUUCGGGUUGUAAACCUCUUUCAGCACGGAAGAAGCGAAAGUGACGGUACGUGCAGAAGAAGCGCCGGCUAACUACGUGCCAGCAGCCGCGGUAAUACGUAGGGCGCAAGCGUUGUCCGGAAUUAUUGGGCGUAAAGAGCUCGUAGGCGGUUUGUCGCGUCUGCUGUGAAAGCCCGGGGCUUAACCCCGUGGUGUGCAGUGGGUACGGGCAGACUAGAGUGCAGUAGGGGAGACUGGAAUUCCUGGUGUAGC